rnacentral:rRNA from 1 species
GGAAUUUUGCGCAAUGGGCGCAAGCCUGACGCAGCAACGCCGCGUGGAGGAAGAAGGCCCUCGGGUCGUAAACUCCUGUCCUUGGGGAAGAUGGUGACGGUACCCUUGGAGGAAGCCCCGGCUAACUCCGUGCCAGCAGCCGCGGUAAUACGGGGGGGGCAAGCGUUGUUCGGAAUUACUGGGCGUAAAGGGCUCGUAGGUGGCCAACUAAGUCGGACGUGAAAUCCCUCGGCUUAACCGGGGAACUGCGUCCGACACUGGUUGGCUUGAGUUUGGGAGAGGGAUGCGGAAUUCCAGGUGUAGCGGUGAAAUGCGUAGAUAUCUGGAGGAACACCGGUGGCGAAGGCGGCAUCCUGGACCAAUACUGACACUGAGGAGCGAAAGCCAGGGGAGCAAAC